rnacentral:rRNA from 1 species
UUUGCCUACGGGAGGCAGCAGUGAGGAAUAUUGGUCAAUGGACGGAAGUCUGAACCAGCCAUGCCGCGUGCAGGAUGACGGCUCUAUGAGUUGUAAACUGCUUUUGUAUUAGGGUAAACACCCCUACGUGUAGGGGCUUGAAAGUAUAAUACGAAUAAGGAUCGGCUAACUCCGUGCCAGCAGCCGCGGUAAUACGGAGGAUGCGAGCGUUAUCCGGAUUUAUUGGGUUUAAAGGGUGCGCAGGCGGUCUGUUAAGUCAGCGGUCAAAGCCCGGGGCUCAACCCCGGCCCGCCGUUGAAACUGGC